rnacentral:rRNA from 1 species
GACGAACGCUGGCGGCGUGCUUAACACAUGCAAGUCGAACGGUAAGGCCCUUCGGGGUACACGAGUGGCGAACGGGUGAGUAACACGUGGGUGAUCUGCCCUGCACUUCGGGAUAAGCCUGGGAAACUGGGUCUAAUACCGGAUAGGACCACUGCCUGCAUGGGUGGUGGUGGAAAGCUUUUGCGGUGUGGGAUGGGCCCGCGGCCUAUCAGCUUGUUGGAGGGGGGAUGGCCUACCAAGGCGACGACGGGUAGCCGGCCUGAGAGGGUGACCGGCCUCACUGGGACUGAGAUACGGCCCAGACUCCUACGGGAGGCAGCAGUGGGGAAUAUUGCACAAUGGGCGCAAGCCUGAUGCAGCGACGCCGCGUGAGGGAUGACGGCCUUCGGGUUGUAAACCUCUUUCAGCACCGACGAAGCGCAAGUGACGGUAGGUGCAGAAGAAGGACCGGCCAACUACGUGCCAGCAGCCGCCGUAA